rnacentral:rRNA from 1 species
GACGAACGCUGGCGGCGUGCUUAACACAUGCAAGUCAAACGAUGAACCCGGAGCUUGCUCCGGCGGAUUAGUGGCGAACGGGUGAGUAACACGUGAGUAACCUGCCCUUGACUCUGGGAUAACUGCUAGAAAUGGUAGCUAAUACCGGAUACGACCCUCGGUGGCAUCAUCCGGGGGGGGAAAGAAUUUCGGUCAAGGAUGGACUCGCGGCCUAUCAGCUGGUUGGUGAGGUAACGGCUCACCAAGGCGACGGCGGGUAGCCGGCCUGAGAGGGUGACCGGCCACACUGGGACUGAGACACGGCCCAGACUCCUACGGGAGGCAGCAGUGGGGAAUAUUGCACAAUGGGCGCAAGCCUGAUGCAGCAACGCCGCGUGAGGGAUGACGGCCUUCGGGUUGUAAACCUCUUUUAGUAGGGAAGAAGCGAAAGUGACGGUACCUGCAGAAAAAGCACCGGCUAACUACGUGCCAGCCGCCGCCGUAA